UUAUACAUUAAAACUUAAUGUAAUUAAACUAUCGAAUUUGCACCGAAUAAUCGUUGUCGUUUAUUGUUUGUUUGCUGUUUUCUAUUGAAGAUAGUAGUCAUUCUCCCAGCGGAGGUACUGGUUGGGAUAGAUGGUGGUUUUGGCACAUUUCAGUCCAGUUCAUGCGCACAGCAACAAGCAUGUGUGAAUAAUGAGAGCUCAUCCAUCACAUCAGUUGAACAUGAAUUGAAAAGCCAGUGAAGACAAAAAAGAUAUAUUGUUCCACUUCAUUGGUCGUUUGCUGUAGAGUUGUUG